AAGGGUCAUGCUGCCUGUACACUUCCUCUUUCUUUACUGCUCCACGCAGACAGGUCAGACUAUUUGGCUCCUCCAGAGCCUUUUCUUGCAUUAUUCUGUAUUAGUCUGUUUUAUUUAUUUUAUUACUUGCCUUUAAUUAAUUUCUGUUUUGUCUGUAUAUUCAUUAUUUAUAUUGCCUGGCUAAGGCUGUGGGUAGGACCAGGUCCCCCUUUUAGUUUCUCCCUCCCUGCCCCUCUGCCGGCCCUGGGACUCCCUGGGCUCCCCCCUGGGCUUCCCUCAGGCUCCCCUCCGGUUUUCCUACCUUGGGGUGCCCUCCUGGGCCCCCUACUCGCGACCGGAAUAAAUCGCG